GACGAACGCUGGCGGCGUGCUAACACAUGCAAGUCGAACGAUGAAGCCCAGUUUGCUGGGUGGAUUAGUGGCGAACGGGUGAGUAACACGUGGGCAACCUGCCCCAAACUCUGGGAUAACUCCUCGAAAGAGGUGCUAAUACCGGAUACGAACUAGACAGACAUCUGUACUAGUUGGAAAGUUUUUCGGUUUGGGAUGGGCCCGCGGCCUAUCAGCUUGUUGGUGAGGUAACGGCUCACCAAGGCUACGACGGGUAACCGGCCUGAGAGGGCGACCGGUCACACUGGGACUGAGACACGGCCCAGACUCCUACGGGAGGCAGCAGUGGGGAAUAUUGCGCAAUGGGCGAAAGCCUGACGCAGCGACGCCGCGUGAGGGAUGAAGGUCUUCGGAUCGUAAACCUCUUUCAGUAGGGACGAAGCGAAAGUGACGGUACCUAAAGAAGAAGCACCGGCUAACUACGUGCCAGCCGCCGCGGUAA
rnacentral:rRNA from 1 species